rnacentral:rRNA from 1 species
UACGGAGGGUGCAAGCGUUAAUCGGAAUUACUGGGCGUAAAGCGUGCGUAGGCGGUUCGUUAAGUCUGUUGUGAAAGCCCCGGGCUCAACCUGGGAAUUGCGAUGGAGACUGCAAGGCUUGAAUCUGGCAGAGGGGGGUAGAAUUCCACGUGUAGCAGUGAAAUGCGUAGAGAUGUGGAGGAACACCGAUGGCGAAGGCAGCCCCCUGGGUCAAGAUUGACGCUCAUGCACGAAAGCGUGGGGAGCAAACAGG